rnacentral:tRNA from 1 species
CUAGGGUUAUGGCUCAGUGGUACAGUACUUGCCUAGCAUGUAUGCAUGAGGCGCUGCGUUCGAUCCCCAGCACUAUAUA